ensembl:lncRNA
UACAGGUUAGUAAUGAGACUAUAUACAGGGGUACAGGUUAGUAAUGAGACUAUAUACAGGGGUACAGGUUAGUAAUGAGACUAUAUACAGGGGUACAGGUUAGUAAUGAGACUAUAUACAGGGGGUACCGGUACCGAGUCAGUGUGCAGGGCUAUAGGUUAGUAAUGAGACUAUAUACAGGGGUACAGGUUAGUAAUGAGACUAUAUACAGGGGUACAGGUUAGUAAUGAGACUAUAUACAGGGGGUACAGGUUAGUAAUGAGACUAUAUACAGGGGGUACAGGUUAGUAAUGAGGCUAUAUACAGGGGGUACAGGUUAGUAAUGAGGUUAUAUACAGGGGGUACAGGUUAGUAAUGAGACUAUAUACACGGGGUACAGGU